rnacentral:rRNA from 1 species
GACGAACGCUGGCGGCGUGCUUAACACAUGCAAGUCGAACGGAAAGGCCCUGCUUUUGUGGGGUGCUCGAGUGGCGAACGGGUGAGUAACACGUGAGUAACCUGCCCUUGACUUUGGGAUAACUUCAGGAAACUGGGGCUAAUACCGGAUAGGAGCUCCUGCUGCAUGGUGGGGGUUGGAAAGUUUCGGCGGUUGGGGAUGGACUCGCGGCUUAUCAGCUUGUUGGUGGGGUAGUGGCUUACCAAGGCUUUGACGGGUAGCCGGCCUGAGAGGGUGACCGGCCACAUGGGGACGGGGGUACGGCCCAAGCUCCUAGGGGGGGAAGAGGGGGGGAAAUUUGCCCAAUGGGGGGAGCCCUGAUGCAGCACCGCCGCGGGGGGGAUGACGGCCUUGGGGUUGUAACCCGUUUUCGCCUGGGACGAAGGGGGGGUGACGGUAAUGGGAAAAAAAGCACCGGCUAACUCCGU